GAUGAACGCUGGCGGCGUGCCUAAUACAUGCAAGUCGAGCGAACGGACGAGAAGCUUGCUUCUCUGAUGUUAGCGGCGGACGGGUGAGUAACACGUGGAUAACCUACCUAUAAGACUGGGAUAACUUCGGGAAACCGGAGCUAAUACCGGAUAAUAUUUUGAACCGCAUGGUUCAAAAGUGAAGGACGGUCUUGCUGUCACUUAUAGAUGGAUCCGCGCUGCAUUAGCUAGUUGGUAAGGUAACGGCUUACCAAGGCAACGAUGCAUAGCCGACCUGAGAGGGUGAUCGGCCACACUGGAACUGAGACAGGGUCCAGACUCCUACGGGAGGCAGCAGUAGGGAAUCGUCCGCAAUGGGCGAAAGCCUGACGGAGCAGCGGCGCGUGAGUGAUGAAGGUCUUCGGAUCGGAGAACUCUGUUAUUAGGGAAGAACAUAUGUGUAAGUAACUGUGCACAUCUUGACGGUACCUAAUCAGAAAGCCACGGCUAACUACGUG
rnacentral:rRNA from 1 species